ACCUCCUUAGAGUUUGAUCCUGGCUCAGAUUGAACGCUGGCGGCAGGCCUAACACAUGCAAGUCGAGCGGAAACGACUUAACUGAACCUUCGGGGAACGUUAAGGGCGUCGAGCGGCGGACGGGUGAGUAAUGCCUGGGAAUAUGCCUUGAUGUGGGGGAUAACCAUUGGAAACGAUGGCUAAUACCGCAUAAUCUCUUCGGAGCAAAGAGGGGGACCUUCGGGCCUCUCGCGUCAAGAUUAGCCCAGGUGGGAUUAGCUAGUUGGUGAGGUAAUGGCUCACCAAGGCGACGAUCCCUAGCUGGUCUGAGAGGAUGAUCAGCCACACUGGAACUGAGACACGGUCCAGACUCCUACGGGAGGCAGCAGUGGGGAAUAUUGCACAAUGGGCGCAAGCCUGAUGCAGCCAUGCCGCGUGUGUGAAGAAGGCCUUCGGGUUGUAAAGCACUUUCAGUCGUGAGGAAGGUAGUGUAGUUAAUAGCUGC
rnacentral:rRNA from 1 species